GCCUGCCUGCCCCGUCCGAUCUGUUUGCCUGACCCGUCUUUGGACUCCGUUUGGAUUCCUCUGUGGACUGAACCUAGAUCUGCCUCUUUACUUCACGCUGUGGAUCAUCCUGUCAUCCUUCGGCAGCUGUGAUAUGAUCUCCUGUCAGCUCUGCAGCCUAAAGCGUCUAGAACUCUCUGGCACCGUCCGCUGCGCUUGUCUGGAAUCCUCCUCGCUCUCUGGGCAUGGGCUUAACUGUCAAACCAGACGUUCCUGCUUUAGACGGCCUAACCACAGCCACUGAUACCACAGAUCCACAGCCCGCUCUGUUCUUAUUUAAUAAACGCUGUUUAAGUCUUCAA